UAAUCUUUAUUAUAGCAAGAAUAACUAACAUUCUUUAACAAUACAAAAGUCAGCUGCUUUAAUCCAUUCUUCACGCAAAGAUUAGGCAAGGAAUUAGCAUCAGCAACUAUUCCUCUUAAUCAUUUCUAAACCGCGUGCCAUGAAAUUCUCUCCCAAUCGAACAUUCUCUAUUUAUAACACUUCACUUUUAAGUUCUCAAGACACAGACAAGCCCACCCACUGACACACCUNN
rnacentral:lncRNA from 1 species